CCCCUAGAUGUUCUGGGCCGCACGCGCGCUACACUGAACAGUUCAACAAGUCUUAACCUUGGCCGAUAGGUCUGGGUAAUCUUUGAACGCUGUUCGUGAUGGGGAUAGACCUUUGCAAUUAUGGGUCUUCAACGAGGAAUUCCUAGUAAACGCAAGUCAUCAGCUUGCAUUGAUUACGUCCCUGCCCUUUGUACACACCGCCCGUCGCACCUACCGAUUGAAUGGUCCGGUGAAAUCUCGGGACGGCGGCUCGGUCGCUUGCGUCCGACUGCUGAAACUUGAUUAAACCAUAUCAUUUAGAGGAAGGUGAAGUCGUAACA
rnacentral:rRNA from 1 species